rnacentral:lncRNA from 1 species
AUCUAUGUUGACUUUCCUUACUUAAUAAUUGAUGAUCAAAUAAUCUCCUUUGGCUGCACAGCAGCCAGAAGAUUGAUUGUUCAUAAGUCUUCCCCUGCUGAGACUUUUAAGUGUUACUUGCUGGUUCAGUUGAUAAAAACAAAGUAGGCAUUUUGCUCACACACACAAACACACACACACACACACACAAAGUCAACAUAAUCUUUGCUGAGACAUUUGCAUUUGAUAAUUUAAAAAAUCAAACUAAUCUAAUCUCAGUUUUCCCAACUAAGAUUCUUCUUUUCAAUUCUGCAUUUAUGGGUUAUAAAACCAAUUUCUUGAUAGUUUAUUUUUCUGAAAAUAAUUGGAUUCCUAUACAUGGCCAUCUGACAUUAGAUAUUAUUAUUAUUGUUGUUGUUGACAUUUUGCCUCUUUGCCUUUGCAGUAGGUCACUAAAGAAGCAGUUCCUUGAAAAACUGAAUUUCUAUUGUCUCUGUCAGAAAAAAAUCAUUCAUUAGCAGGAGAAGAACAGCAAGAGAUCAAUCACAUAAUCUUGAGAAGGUCUAGCAUGGCGGAUGCUGCGGCUACUGGUCCAGGAAGCACAUUUUGAGAACCACUCAGC